rnacentral:rRNA from 1 species
GAUGAACGCUAGCUACAGGCUUAACACAUGCAAGUCGAGGGGUAACGAGAGGGAAGCUUGCUUUCCUUGUCGACGACCGGCGCACGGGUGAGUAACGCGUAUCCAACCUGCCCCCAACUAGGGAAUAACCUUGCGAAAGUAAGACUAAUACCCUAUAAUUUCCUCAGAUGUCAUCUGACGAGGACUAAAGAUUUAUCGGUUGUGGAUGGGGAUGCGUCUGAUUAGCUUGUUGGCGGGGUAACGGCCCACCAAGGCAACGAUCAGUAGAGGUUCUGAGAGGAAGGUCCCCCACAUUGGAACUGAGACACGGUCCAAACUCCUACGAGAGGCAGCAGUGAGGAAUAUUGGUCAAUGGGCGGAAGCCUGAACCAGCCAAGUAGCGUGCAGGAUGACGGCCCUAUGGGUUGUAAACUGCUUUUAUACAGGAAUAAAGUUAGCCACGUGUGGUUAUUUGUAGGUACUGUAUGAAUAAGGACCGGCUAAGUCCGUGCCAGCCGCCGCGGUAA